rnacentral:rRNA from 1 species
CACGUAGGGGGCAAGCGUUGUCCGGAUUUAUUGGGCGUAAAGAGCUCGUAGGCGGCUCACUAAGUCGGGUGUGAAAUUUCGAGGCUCAACCUCGAAACGCCACCCGAUACUGGUGUGGCUAGAGUCCGGUAGGGGAGCGUGGAAUUCCUGGUGUAGCGGUGAAAUGCGCAGAUAUCAGGAGGAACACCGAUGGCGAAGGCAGGUCUCUGGGCCACUACUGACGCUGAGAAGCGAAAGCAUGGGGAGCGAACAGG